rnacentral:rRNA from 1 species
AACGAACGCUGGCGGCAUGCCUUAUACAUGCAAGUCGAACGCGAAAGCACUUUCGGGUGUUAGUAGAGUGGCAAACGGGUGAGUAACGCGUGGGAAUAUACCUUAUAGUACGGAAUAGCCUCGGGAAACUGGGAUUAAUACCGUAUACGCCCGUAGGGGGAAAGAUUUAUCGCUAUAAGAUUAGCCCGCGUCAGAUUAGCUUGUUGGUGGGGUAACGGCCUACCAAGGCGACGGUCUGUCGUUGGUCUGAGAGGACGAUCAGCCACAUUGGGACUGGGAUACGGCCCAAACUGCUACGGGAGGCAGGAGUAGGGAAUAGUGGACAAUGGACGAAAGUCUGAUCCAGCAAUGCCGCGUGAGUGAUGAAGGCCUUAGGGUUGUAAAGCUCUUUUAGUAGGGAAGAUAAUGACGGUACCUACAGAAAAAGCACCGGCUAACUCCGUGCCAGCCGCCGCAGUAA